AACGAACGCUGGCAGCAUGCCUAACACAUGCAAGUCGAACGCGUGGAGCGAUCCACGAGUGGCGCACGGGUGAGUAACGCGUGGGAACCUGCCCUGGAGUGUGGGAUAACCCGGCGAAAGCCGGGCUAAUACCGCAUACGCCCUGAGGGUGAAAGAUUUAUCGCUCUAGGAGGGGCCCGCGUCGGAUUAGCCAGUUGGUGAGGUAAUGGCUCACCAAGGCGAUGAUCCGUAGCUGGUCUGAGAGGAUGAUCAGCCACACUGGGACUGAGACACGGCCCAGACUCCUACGGGAGGCAGCAGUGGGGAAUAUUGGACAAUGGGGGCAACCCUGAUCCAGCAAUGCCGCGUGGGCGAUGAAGGCCUUCGGGUUGUAAAGCCCUUUUGCACGCGACGAUGAUGACGGUAGCGUGAGAAGAAGCCCCGGCUAACUUCGUGCCAGCCGCCGCGGUAA
rnacentral:rRNA from 1 species